GACGAACCGUGCGAACGUUGUUCGGAAUCACUGGGCUUAAAGGGCGCGUAGGCGGGCCACCAAGUCAGGGGUGAAAUCCCACGGCUCAACCGUGGAAGUGCCUCUGAUACUGGGGGCCUCGAGGGAGGUAGGGGCGUGCGGAACUUCCGGUGGAGCGGUGAAAUGCGUAGAUAUCUGGAGGAACACCGGUGGCGAAAGCGGCUCACUGGAUCGAAACUGACGCUGAGGUGCGAAAGCUAGGGUAGCAAACGGG
rnacentral:rRNA from 1 species